rnacentral:rRNA from 1 species
UACGGAGGGUGCGAGCGUUAUCCGGAUUCACUGGGUUUAAAGGGUGCGUAGGUGGGAAUGUAAGUCAGUGGUGAAAUCUCUGGGCUUAACUCAGAAACUGCCAUUGAUACUAUGUUUCUUGAAUUUUCUGGAGGUCAGCGGAAUAUGUCAUGUAGCGGUGAAAUGCUUAGAUAUGACAUAGAACACCAAUUGCGAAGGCAGCUGGCUACAGGGAUAUUGACACUGAGGCACGAAAGCGUGGGGGGCGAACAGG